CCCAGACUCCUACGGGAGGCAGCAGUGGGGGAUAUUGCACAAUGGGGGAAACCCUGAUGCAGCAACGCCGCGUGAGUGAAGAAGUAUUUCGGUAUGUAAAGCUCUAUCAGCAGGGAAGAGAAUGACGGUACCUGACUAAGAAGCCCCGGCUAACUACGUGCCAGCAGCCGCGGUAAUACGUAGGGGGCGAGCGUUAUCCGGAUUUACUGGGUGUAAAGGGAGCGUAGACGGCUGGUCAAGUCUGAAGUGAAAGCCCGGGGCUUAACCCCGGAACGGCUUUGGAAACUGAGCAGCUAGAGUGCUGGAGAGGUAAGCGGAAUUCCUAGUGUAGCGGUGAAAUGCGUAGAUAUUAGGAGGAACACCAGUGGCGAAGGCGGCUUACUGGACAGUAACUGACGUUGAGGCUCGAAAGCGUGGGGAGCAAACAGGAUUAGAUACCCGAGUA
rnacentral:rRNA from 1 species